rnacentral:rRNA from 1 species
GACGAACGCUGGCGGCGUGCCUAAUACAUGCAAGUAGAACGCUGAAGGAGGAGCUUGCUCUUCUGGAUGAGUUGCGAACGGGUGAGUAACGCGUAGGUAACCUGCCUGGUAGCGGGGGAUAACUAUUGGAAACGAUAGCUAAUACCGCAUAAGAGUAGAUGUUGCAUGUCAUUUGCUUAAAAGGUGCAAUUGCAUCACUACCAGAUGGACCUGCGUUGUAUUAGCUAGUUGGUGGGGUAACGGCUCACCAAGGCGACGAUACAUAGCCGACCUGAGAGGGUGAUCGGCCACACUGGGACUGAGACACGGCCCAGACUCCUACGGGGGGCAGCAGUAGGGAAUCUUCGGCAAUGGACGGAAGUCUGACCGAGCAACGCCGCGUGAGUGAAGAAGGUUUUCGGAUCGUAAAGCUCUGUUGUAAGAGAAGAACGAGUGUGAGAGUGGAAAGUUCACACUGUGACGGUAUCUUACCAGAAAGGGACGGCUAACUACGUG